UACGUAGGGGGGCAAGCGUUGUCCGGAUUUAUUGGGCGUAAAGAGCGUGUAGGCGGCUUGGUAGGUCCGCUGUGAAAACUCGAGGCUCAACCUCGAGAUGUCGGCGGAAACCACUUGGCUAGAGUCCGGAAGAGGAGAGUGGAAUUCCUGGUGUAGCGGUGAAAUGCGCAGAUAUCAGGAAGAACACCUAUGGCGAAGGCAGCUCUCUGGGGACGGUACUGACGCUGAGACGCGAAAAGCGUGGGGGAGCGAACGGGG
rnacentral:rRNA from 1 species